rnacentral:rRNA from 1 species
AUACGGAGGGUGCAAGCGUUACUCGGAAUCACUGGGCGUAAAGCGCGCGCAGGCGGCUUGAUAAGUUGGAUGUGAAAGCCUACGGCUCAACCGUAGAACUGCAUCCAAAACUGUCAAGCUAGAGUCUGUGAGGGGAAGAUGGAAUUAGUUGUGUAGGGGUAAAAUCCGUAGAGAUAACUAGGUAUACCAAAAGCGAAGGCGAUCUUCUGGAACAGUACUGACGCUGAGGCGCGAAAGCGUGGGGAGCAAACAGAAUUAGAUACCCGGGUAGUCC